AUUUAGUAAACCAAAAAACAGUGUGAGAGUGCGAGUUGUAAGAUUUAGGCCACAAAACAGCUGAUCUAAAAUUAAAAUUCUGCGCUAUUUAUACAGUUUGUCAAUUUUAGCUUAAUGUUUUCCUUGACGAUUCCUCAUAAUUCCUGAUUUAACCAAUAGAACCCUAUGUAUCUACUAAUUUUUCAGCAGAAUGACAGCAUCCCUCCCAGGAACUCUCCC